rnacentral:rRNA from 1 species
AGAGUUUGAUCAUGGCUCAGGACGAACGCUGGCGGCAUGCCUAACACAUGCAAGUCGAACGGACAUAACCAAGUUAUAGCGAUAUAAUGCGGGUAUGUUAGUGGCGAACGGGUGAGUAACACGUGAGCAACCUGCCCUGUACAACGGGAUAACAGUUGGAAACGACUGCUAAUACGGUAUAAGACCACACUGCGGCAUCGCAGAGGGGUAAAAGUGAAUUAGCGGUACAGGAUGGGCUCGCGUCCAAUUAGCUAGUUGGUGAGGUAACGGCUCACAAAGGCGACGAUUGGUAGCCGACCUGAGAGGGUGAUCGGCCACACUGGAACUGAGACACGGUCCAGACUCCUACGGGAGGCAGCAGUGGGGAAUAUUGGGCAAUGGAGGAAACUCUUACCCAGCAGUGCCGCGUGAAGGAAGAAGGUCUUCGGAUUGUAAACUUCUUUUAUUGGGGACGAAUAAAUGACGGUACCCGAUGAAUAAGCCCCGGCUAACUAUGUGCCAGCAGCCGCGGUAAUACAUAGGGGGCAAGCGUUGUUCGGAAUGACUGGGCGUAAAGGGUGUGUAGGCGGUUUUCUAAGUUAGAAGUGUAAUACCUCGGGCUUAACUCAGGUGCUGCUUCUAAAACUGGAGGACUAGAGUGUAGGAGAGGAGAAUGGAAUUCCUAGUGUAGCGGUGAAAUGCAUAGAUAUUAGGAGGAACACCAGAGGCGAAAGCGAUUCUCUGGACUACAACUGACGCU